AUGGAGAGUUCAAGUGUUGGUGCGGUUGCAGCGGUGUGCAGAAGCAGGGAGGGUAUUUUUCUCGGUGUGUCCACUGUCGUGUUCAAGGGCAUCUCUGACCCUACGACACUGGAAGCAAUGGGAGUCAGGGAAUCGAUGGCACUAGCAAAGGAUCUCCAGUUACAAGCGAUUCAUGUGGCGACGGAUUGCAUGGAAGUGGUGAACGAUAUCAAGCAGAAGAGUAACCCGGUCUAUGGGGCCAUAAUACAUGAGAUCAUAGAGUACUCUAGUACCUUUAAUUCUUACACUUUUGUUCAUGAGUUUAGGAGCUCGAAUGUCGAGGCUCACAAUCUAGCGAAGCAUGCUUUGGGACUGGGGUUUGGUCGCCAUGUCUGGUUAGGCCACCCCGGUGAUCUUACUUUCGUCCCUGUAAACAUUGUGACGGUCUAA
rnacentral:rRNA from 1 species